rnacentral:rRNA from 17 species
UCUUGCGCCGAAAAUGUACCGGGGCUAAAGCCAUACACCGAAGCUGCGGAUGCACAUUUAUGUGCGUGGUAGCGGAGCGUUCUGUAAGCCUGUGAAGGGUGACCCGCGAGGGCACUUGGAGGUAUCAGAAGUGAGAAUGCUGACAUGAGUAGCGAUAAAGGGGGUGAGAGGCCCCCUCGCCGAAAAUCCAAGGUUUCCUGCUCAACGCUAAUCGGAGCAGGGUGAGUCGGUCCCUAAGGCGAGGCAGAAAUGCGUAGUCGAUGGAAAACAGGUUAAUAUUCC